AGGGCUAGCCUGAGGUAGUAAGUAUAGGCGGUAGAGCACUGAUCGGGCUAGGGGCCGUAAAGGUUACCGAACCCUGUCAAACUCCGAAUGGAUAUACUGUAGAGCCUUGGAGUCAGACUACGAGUGAUAAGAUCCGUGGUCAAAAGGGAAACAGCCCAGACCACCAGCUAAGGUCCCCAAUGUCGUACUAAGUGGAAAAGGAUGUGGGGUUUCAUAAACAACCAGGAUGUUGGCUCAGAAGCAGCCACCAUUUAAAGAGUGCGUAAUAGCUCACUGGUCGAGAGACGCUGCGCCGAAAAUGUCCGGGGCUCAAGCACGGAACCGAAGCUAUGGCAUUGCUUAGGCAAUGGGUAGGGGAGCGUUCUUACCAGGGUGAAGCAGUACCGUAAGGAGCUGUGGACAGGUAAGAAGUGAGAAUGCUGGCAUGAGUAUCGAAAAGAAAGGUGAGAAUCCUUUCCACCGAAAGCCCGAGGGUUCCUGAGCAACGAUCGUCGUCUCAGGGUAAGUCGGGACCUAAGCCGAGGCGGAGAAGCGUAGGCGAUGGACAACAGGUUGAAAUUCCUGUACUGCUUUAUGUCGUUUGAGUGAUGGAGUGACGCAGGAGGGCACAUGAUCGCGCGAUUGGAAGAGCGCGUCCAAGCAUGUAGUUUGAAUAUGAGUAAAAUGCCAUAUUCUGAAAGACGAGAUGUGACGGGGAAUUAGAGGAAACUCUGAGGAACUCAUGGAUCCCACACUGCCGAGAAAAGCUUCUAGCGAGACAUAAGGCACCCGUACCGUAAACCGACACAGGUAGGCGGGGAGAGAAUCCUAAGGUGCGCGGGAAAACCCUCGUUAAGGAACUCGGCAAAUUGCAUCCGUAACUUCGGGAAAAGGAUGACCCUGAGUAGGCGAAGGACAGAAACGUCCGGAACCGGAAAGGGUGGCAGAAAAGAGGCCCAAGCAACUGUUUACCAAAAACACAGGUGCCUGCGAAAGCGAAAGCUGAAGUAUAGGUGCUGACGCCUGCCCGGUGCUGGAAGGUUAAGGAGAGAUGUCAGCGAAAGCGAAGCAUUGAACUGAAGCCCCAGUGAACGGCGGCCGUAACUAUAACGGUCCUAAGGUAGCGAAAUUCCUUGUCGGGCAAGUUCCGACCCGCAUGAAAGGCGUAAUGAUUUGGGCACUGUCUCAACGAGGGGCCCGGUGAAAUUGAAAUACCUGUGAAGAUGCAGGUUACCCGCGACUGGACAGAAAGACCCCAUGGAGCUUUACUGCAGCUUGAGACGGAAUUCCGGUGAUAGAUGCACAGGAUAGGUGGGAGGCUUAGAGUACCGGACUUUGGUCUGGUAGGAGCCGCUGUUGGGAUACCACCCUUCUGUUGCUGGAAUUCUAACGCGAAGAGUAACGACCUUGCGGACAAUCUCAGGCAGGCGGUUUGACUGGGGCGGUCGCCUCCGAAAGAGUAACGGAGGCGCCCAAAGGUUCCCUCAGAUCGGACAGAAACCGAUCGCAGAGUGCAAAGGCAGAAGGGAGCUUGACUGCGAGACAGACAAGUCGAGCAGAGACGAAAGUCGGGCUUAGUGAUCCGGUGGUACUGUGUGGAAAGGCCAUCGCUCAACGGAUAAAAGCUACCCUGGGGAUAACAGGCUAAUCUCUCCCAAGAGUUCAUAUCGACGGGGAGGUUUGGCACCUCGAUGUCGGCUCAUCACAUCCUGGGGCUGGAGUAGGUUCCAAGGGUUGGGCUGUUCGCCCAUUAAAGUGGUACGCGAGCUGGGUUCAAAACGUCGUGAGACAGUUUGGUUCAUAUCCAUCGCGGGCGCAAGAAGUUUGAAGGGGGCUGCUCCUAGUACGAGAGGACCGGAGUGGACGGAUCAACGGUGUACCAGUUGUCUCGCCAGAGGCACGGCUGGAAAGCUGCAUCCGGAAAGGAUAAACGCUGAAAGCAUCUAAGCGUGAAACCUGCCCUGAGAUGAGACUUCU
rnacentral:rRNA from 1 species